rnacentral:rRNA from 1 species
AUGAUUACACUCCCGACACUUGGCAUGCGGGGUGGCAUCCUGCUGGCUUGGAAGAGCAGGGCCGUGACUAUCACAUACCCAUUGUUCACCAUGAAUGCCCUCUCGGCCAGAGUGGCCACGGCCUCGGGCACCCCCUGGUGGCUAUCGGUCGUGUAUGGACCCCAAGAUGACGCGGACAAAAUUGCGUUCUUGCUAGAGUUGUGGGAGAUUCGCGCGGCUUGCCCCGGGCCAUGGAUGCUUUGUGGUGACUUCAACCUCAUCCUGCGUGACGAGGACAAGAACAACAACAACUUGAACUGGCGCAUGAUGGGCAGGUUCUACCGCCUCGUCAACGACCUCGCGCUUGAGGAGGUCUACCUCAACGGGCGCCGCUUCACGUGGUCGAACGAUUAG